rnacentral:antisense_RNA from 1 species
AGUAGUAGAACCGACCUCGUAGGCUCAUCGGGAGGUCCUGAUGGGAGAACCCAUGCAACUUGCCACCAUAGAGCCAGGCCCGCGGCGAUUGGCUCCUGGUGGGUAUUAAAGACGAGUCGGGAAAGAAGAGCAGGUUGAUAGACUGGAUGCUGCUAUGGUAAUCUGCCUCAGGAAAAUGCCGGACUGUUGUUUGCAAGCUGGUUAAGUGAGCAAAUCUUGGGAAGAUUUCAAGUUUUUAUCUUCAGGAAACUCCCAAGCAUUCUGGAAGCUCUGCAUGUGAGUAAGAACCACUGCUGUUGCUGUUGCUGUAGCUGCCUGAAUCUAUGGCAAAAAGCCAGGAAAAAAAAAUUGCUUCACACCAUGUGCACCGACUCCCCUGGAGCUGGCACCGCCAGGGCGUCUGCAGAGCUAUGUCUGACAGUCCUGCCAUUUCCUAACUUCUCCUGUGUGGUCAUCCACCUACCUUUGGGAACCUCCAGUCAUUACUCACAGAGUUGGUCUCAUCCUGGGAACUCUCUCUUGCCUCUCCCAGUGGUUCAUUCUCCAAGUCUGAGUUAUUUGGUCAAAAAAACCCCCAAAUGCUUCAGACAACUCUCGCAAACUUGUCAUAGCUUUUGGUAUUCCAGGCCACAGAAGAGCCCAG